GUCAGGAUAGCUCAGAAUGUCAGUCACGGUACGUG
rnacentral:tRNA from 1 species